CAUCAUUACCACUACAAAGACUUUUAGUCACUUACUUGCCGCCCACAACGUGGGGAACCUAAUGCACAUGCGCUCAGUACUUUCCUAUGGGGAUUUAGAGGACACUGAAUGUCCCCAUGUAAAAAGCGAGGACAUCCAACGUCUUUUAGCAGAGUCGCGCCUUUAGCCUCUUAAGGACUGAGCCAAAUGUACCCGUUGUGAUCAAAAUGAAA